rnacentral:tmRNA from 1 species
GGGGGCGUACUGGUUUCGACGGGGGAAUUAGGAGCAAAGGUAGCGAGCCGGGGUUCCACCCGCCCGUAAAACGGUGGAAGAAAAAUAACUGCCAACAACGAAUACGCUCUGGCUGCUUAAUUAAGCGGCCCGUCCACCCGGCCUCGCCUGCGGGCCGGUGAUGGGCGUCACCCAGCAGGCUCACCCGCCGGGUCCCGGGCCCCGGGGGAGCGGCGGGAAACCUCACGGGGCUAGCCCGAAGAAAGCCUGCCGGCGGGCGUUCUGAGGGCGAAAGGAAAACACCGGCUGCGCUCGGAGAAACCUUUGUAGCCGUUCUUUCGGACAGGGGUUCGACUCCCCUCGCCUCCACCA